rnacentral:lncRNA from 1 species
ACACAAAAAAUCAGCUGUGCUUAAAGGAUCAUUUCCGAAGAACCAACACUGGUUUGUGAGAAUCACUGAGUUUCUUCAGAUCAGGUAAAUCUGUACAGUAAAUGUGUCUGAUAAUUUCACAUUUCCACAGUAUGAACACAAAACCUCCAAUCCCUCCAUCUUAUAUAGAAGGUUGGAUUUCUUUGAAAAAUUCACUGGAAGAAUAAUUCUUUAGACACAUUCACCUCCAAGUCCUGAUGCCAUCACAGAAAAUGAAACCAGAAUGCCAGCCUGUUCACAUUUUCACAAAGUUACCAGUGUCUGAUGGAAUGAAGAAGUGAAUAAACAUUGCGUAGUUAUACU